rnacentral:rRNA from 1 species
GACGAACGCUGGCGGCGUGCCUAAUACAUGCAAGUAGAACGCUGAAGGAGGAGCUUGCUCUUCUGGAUGAGUUGCGAACGGGUGAGUAACGCGUAGGUAACCUGCCUGGUAGCGGGGGAUAACUAUUGGAAACGAUAGCUAAUACCGCAUAAGAGUAGAUGUUGCAUGACAUUUGCUUAAAAGGUGCAAUUGCAUCACUACCAGAUGGACCUGCGUUGUAUUAGCUAGUUGGUGGGGUAACGGCUCACCAAGGCGACGAUACAUAGCCGACCUGAGAGGGGGAUCGGCCACACUGGGACUGAGACACGGCCCAGACUCCUACGGGAGGCAGCAGUAGGGAAUCUUCGGCAAUGGACGGAAGUCUGACCGAGCAACGCCGCGGGAGUGAAGAAGGUUUUCGGAUCGUAAAGCUCUGUUGUAAGAGAAGAACGAGUGUGAGAGUGGAAAGUUCACACUGUGACGGUAUCUUACCAGAAAGGGACGGCUAACUACGUG